GCACAGAUUGCAGUGAGCUGAGAUUGUGCCAUUGCACUCCAGCCUGGGUCAACAAGAGUGAAAUUCUGUCUCAGGAAAAAAAAAAAAAAAAAAAAAAGAGAAGGGUCAGACCCAGCCCUGGGACAUCCUCAAAUGUUGAGAUGCUCUGGAUUUUGAUGGCCUGUACUGGCAUUAACACACAACCAUAGGCAAACUAUGAAACAAUUUGCACUGGUGUAUAAAAUAUGGUGGCCAAGCUGAAGUAAUAACAUGAAUAAACAAAUAAUAUAAGGCAAUAUCUCUUAAGCUUGGAAUUCUAAAAGCAAUGGAGAGUCCCAAGGGAAAACAAUACCACUCUUAACUAUCUUAUUCCUACUCCCACAGCCUGGGGCUGAGUCUUGGUGCUGGAGAGAAAGGAAAGAGCUGGCUUUCUUCCAGUCCCUCAUUCAUCUUGCCUGGCUCUGCCUGGUCCACACUUAAACUUGUUUGUUAGAAAUAUGGUCACUUUAGUCAUCUUCUACCCAGUCAUCAACUCACCCUUUCUGCUCCCUGAUAUGGAUUUGGUAAAAGCCAUGGCAAGUGCUCAGGAGAGGGAAUCACCAGAAACCUUUGUUAGUCCAGAGUUUAGAGAUUAAGGGUAAGCCUCAUAGGGGUUGGGAGUCUUAUGGGGACUACAUAAGAGAUUACUAACGAAGGAGGAAAGAGGCAUAUGAGGGCUGAUGCUGAGGGAAUCUGCUAACAGCAAUCCAAGGUCAUCCCUGCAGGUAGGUCUGUGGCUGAGUAGAUUCCUGUAGAAUAGAUUCAGGUAGACUAUGUUCAGCAACACUGGAGCAGUCAAGCAGGCUUUGUUCCUAACUUCACUUCUCUUAUCAAGGAGCUUUAUCAUCAUCUCUAUGCUUCUAAAACCUCACUGCUGUUUCCCAGCUUAUUACCCCAGAAACAGACUUGGGCCAGCAUGGAUGACAGAAAAUGUUAUUUGCUCAGCUCUCUGAUUCCUAUACUUGCCAGCAGCAAUCACGACCGCCAGCACCAAAAGGACAGAGGGAGUCUGGGUCAGCCCUGCUUUAUGCAAAACAAGAGCAACAGUUCAAGUUUGAUGAAAACUGGAAGAAAAUAUUUUAAUAAACGUUUGGGUUAGAGGUAAAAAUUAGUGGUCAGUAGAACACCCAAGAAAGGAAACAGCCUCCCUGCACUGUUUGGGGGUGGUAGCUGGCAGGCACCUAAAAACACACCAGUUUUUGAAAACUUCUCUAGCUUUCUCACUGUGUUACUUUCACACUGUGCUAUGGUUUGAAUGUUUGUGUGCCCCCAAAAGUGAUACAUUGAAACCUCAUCUCCAAUAUGAUGACAUGAGCAAGUGGGAGUUUUAAGAGAUGAGGUCAUGAGGGCAGAGACUUAAUCAAUAAAAUUAGUAACUUUAUAAAAGAGGCCCCAGAGAACCUCACGGCCACUUCCACCAUGUGAAGACACAGCAAGACGCUGCAAUCUAUGAACCAAGAAAUGGGCCCUCACCAGACACUGCAUCUGCCUGUGUCUUGAUCUUGGACUUCCCAGCUUCUAGAACUGUAAGAAAUCAAUUUCUGUUGUGUAUCAGCCACCCAGUCUAUGGUAUCGUAGCCCAAAUGGACUAAGACACACUGCUUUCUCAAAUAUUCUUUCUCAUAGUCUCAACAACCAUUGUGUCAAUGUAUUGCCUUCAAACACUUUGAAACGUUGACAUUUUCGGAGACUGUGCCAAAAAGGAGGAAAUAUCCCUUAAGCCAGGCUUCCAUCCUGAAUUCUACACACAAGAUGAAGAGAAGAGAUUCUUUUACUCCUUCCAGAAAGGGGUGAAAGAAGGAAAGAGGAAGCUAAUAGGAACAGAAAAGCUGUGACCUGCCCAUGUGACCAUUCCCUGCCACCUCCAAAUGGUCACCAAGCAUUUCCAGAAAUACCUCAUGAAUGCUCUGAGUUGCUCCAUCUACAUGAUAGGGAGUUCUACGUGGGAUUCCUUGCAAGCAGCUCUGAUGGCAGGAGGGGAGACCAUGG
rnacentral:lncRNA from 1 species